UGAAAUUUACAAUACGGCCGACACGAAUUAAAAGGACAAACAUGCAGUUUUUAUCCAAAUGUUUGGUUGAUAUGUUUCACUCAACAAAACUAAGGAAAGUGAGAGGUUCCAAAUCAACCAAAGGCUACGAAAGAGUCUGAAAUGACAACGAAUUUAUGAAUAACGGUCGACAAAUGGAGACAUAAAGGCCACACCCAGCAGGCAGGUUACAGUCUGGUCUUGAAAAAAGUAUUCAAUAUAUAAGUCCGGCGAAACAGACAUUCAGGUCAGAC
rnacentral:lncRNA from 1 species